rnacentral:rRNA from 1 species
UACGUAGGUGGCGAGCGUUGUCCGGAUUUACUGGGCGUAAAGGGCGUGCAGGCGGUUUGUUAAGUGCAGGGUGAAAGCUCCCGGCUCAACUGGGAGAGGUCCUUGCAUACUGGCGAACUCGAGGGAGGCAGAGGAAAGUGGAAUUCCCGGUGUAGUGGUGAUAUGCGUAGAUAUCGGGAGGAACACCAGUGGCGAAGGCGACUACCUGGCCUGUUCUUGACGCUGAGGCGCGAAAGCUAGGGGAGCAAACGGG